UACAGAGGUCUCAAGCGUUGUUCGGAUUCAUUGGGCGUAAAGGGUGUGUAGGUGGCGCCGUUAGCCGGGUGUGAAAUUUCGGAGCUUAACUCCGAAACUGCAUUCGAUACUGCGGUGCUUGAGGACUGGAGAGGAGACUGGAAUUCAUGGUGUAGCAGUGAAAUGCGUAGAGAUCAUGAGGAAGACCAGUGGCGAAGGCGGGUCUCUGGACAGUUCCUGACACUGAGACACGAAGGCCAGGGGAGCAAACGGG
rnacentral:rRNA from 1 species